AUUGAACGCUGGCGGAAUGCUUUACACAUGCAAGUCGAGCGGCAGCGCGGGGCAACCUGGCGGCGAGCGGCGAACGGGUGAGUAACACAUCGGAACGUGCCCAGGAGUGGGGGAUAGCCCGGCGAAAGCCGGAUUAAUACCGCAUACGAACUGAGGUUGAAAGCGGGGGACCGAAAGGCCUCGCGCUCGUGGAGCGGCCGAUGGCAGAUUAGGUAGUUGGUGGGGUAAAGGCCCACCAAGCCUGCGAUCUGUAGCUGGUCUGAGAGGACGACCAGCCACACUGGGACUGAGACACGGCCCAGACUCCUACGGGAGGCAGUAGUGGGGAAUUUUGGACAAUGGGCGCAAGCCUGAUCCAGCCAUUCCGCGUGCAGGACGAAGGCCUUCGGGUUGUAACUGCUUUGUACGGAGCGAAAGGGUCCUGCCUAAUACGUGGGGCGAUAUGACGGUACCGUAAGAAUAAGCACCGGCUAACUACGUGCCAGCAGCCGCGGUAAU
rnacentral:rRNA from 1 species